GGAUCCAGACUUUGAUUAUGGCUCAGGGUGAACGCUAGCUACAGGCUUAACGCAUGCAAGUCGAGGGGAAACGAUAGAGAAAGCUUGCUUUUUCUAGGCGUCGACCGGCGCACGGGUGAGUAACGCGUAUCCAACCUGCCCAUCACUUGGGGAUAACCUUGCGAAAGUAAGACUAAUACCCAAUGACGUCUCUAGAAGACAUCUGAAAGAGAUUAAAGAUUUAUCGGUGAUGGAUGGGGAUGCGUCUGAUUAGCUUGUUGGCGGGGUAACGGCCCACCAAGGCGACGAUCAGUAGGGGUUCUGAGAGGAAGGUCCCCCACAUUGGAACCGAGACACGGUCCAAACUCCUACGGGAGGCAGCAGUGAGGAAUAUUGGUCAAUGGACGAGAGUCUGAACCAGCCAAGUAGCGUGCAGGAAGACGGCCCUAUGGGUUGUAAACUGCUUUUAUAAGGGAAUAAAGUGAGUCUCGUGAGACUUUUUGCAUGUACCUUAUGAAUAAGGACCGGCUAAUUCCGUGCCAGCAGCCGCGGUAAUACGGAAGGUCCGGGCGUUAUCCGGAUUUAUUGGGUUUAAAGGGAGCGUAGGCCGGAGAUUAAGCGUGUUGUGAAAUGUAGACGCUCAACGUCUGCACUGCAGCGCGAACUGGUUCCCUUGAGUACGCACAAAGUGGGCGGAAUUCGUGGUGUAGCGGUGAAAUGCUUAGAUAUCACGAAGAACUCCGAUUGCGAAAGCAGCUCACUGGAGCGCAACUGACGCUGAAGCUCGAAAGUGCGGGUAUCGGACAGGAUUAGAUACCCUGGUAGUCCGCACGGUAAACGAUGGAUGCCCGCUGUUGGUCUGAAUAGGUCAGCGGCCAAGCGAAAGCAUUAAGCAUCCCACCUGGGGAGUACGCCGGCAACGGUGCAACUCAAAGGAAUUGACGG
rnacentral:rRNA from 2 species